rnacentral:rRNA from 1 species
AAGAUUGCUGCUUCGGACAGUGAAACUUACACAGGUGCUGCAUGGCUGUCGUCAGCUCGUGUCGUGAGAUGUUGGGUUAAGUCCUUAAACGAGCGAAACCCUUACCGUUAGUUACCAUCAGGUUAUGCUGGGGACUCUAGCGGGACUGCCGGUGUUAAACCGGAGGAAGGCGGGGAUGACGUCAAGUCCUCAUGGCCUUUAUGCCCAGGGCUUCACACGUGCUACAAUGGCAAUGACAGAGCGAUGCAAUACCGCGAGGUGGAGCAAAUCGCAUAAACAUUGCCUCAGUUCGGAUUGCAGGCUGACAACUCGCCUGCAUGAAGUUGGAAUCGCUAGUAAUCGCGUAUCAGCUAUGACGCGGUGAAUAUGUUCCUGAGCCUU